UGGUGGCGAGUGCGAACGGGUAGUAAUCCAUCGGAACGUACCCAGAAGUGGGGGAUAACGUAGCGAAAGUUACGCUAAUACCGCAUACGUUCUACGGAAGAAAGUGGGGGAUCGCAAGACCUCGUGCUUUUGGAGCGGCCGAUGUCUGAUUAGCUAGUUGGUGAGGUAAAGGCUCACCAAGGCGUCGAUCAGUAGCUGGUCUGAGAGGCGACCAGCCACACUGGAACUGAGACACGGUCCAGACUCCUACGGGAGGCAGCAGUGGGGAAUUUUGGACAAUGGGCGCAAGCCUGAUCCAGCAAUGCCGCGUGAGUGAAGAAGGCCUUCGGGUUGUAAAGCUCUUUUGUCAGGGAAGCAAACGGCUGGGGCUAAUAUCCUUUGCUAAUGCGG
rnacentral:rRNA from 1 species